rnacentral:lncRNA from 1 species
AUAAAAGUAAUAAAAGAACUCAGGAAUUAUGAGUUGAAGAACCUGGAGAACGAUGAAGAACGAACCAGUUGCUGCAAAAGUACAAUGUUGAGGAAGAUCCGACAGACCCGGCUCCUCCUUCGCUCUCCUCUUCUCUCUCCCUAUUUUCUAGAUUACAACUAGAACUAACUAAAACUAGAACUAGAGGAACUAGAACUAGAACUAGAUGAACUAGAACUAGAACUAGAUGAACUAGAGGUAGAACUAGAAGAACUAGAGGGAUCCUCUCUACUUGGAUGAAGAAUUGAAACCCUAACUUUGAUUCUGUAGAAGAGGUAUGCCUUCAGGGGCUGGUGGGGGUCUGCUUAUAUAGUCCAAGAAGAGUAGCCCCCAAGAAAUCUAGGAAGAGUAGCUCCCAAGAAAUCUAGGAAGAGUAGCUCCCAAGGAAUUUCCACGUUAUUCUCCACCAUCCGAUCAAACCGACCUUAAUCGUGUGAUUUUCCUUGAUCCUUAGAGUCGGUGGAGCAUAAUCCCCGAGACUCGUGCUGAUUGGCCAGCAGAGGAGGGCGGGCGCCCUGCCUCCGAGCCCGAUCGCCUCCCCGUUUGUUCCCGUGGCUUCUGGAGUCUUCUAGAUGGUAGAAAAUUGCGCGGCACGUUAAUAUCUCUAUGUAAACCCGACGUAUGGGCCUUUCUUCCGUAUUUCUUGAUAACCCCCUGUAGAAAUAGACAACCACCAAAACUCGUGGAAUUCUGUCAGAUAAAACCCUAAGUCUAGGUGUUGGUUCCAUUUGGAUCCUUUUCUAUGAUUAGUUGAUGGUUAAAUGUGAGCAUUUAGGACCGUCAACAAGCUCCCCCAAGCUUAACCUUUGCUCGUCCCUGAGCAAAGAUGGACUCAAGAGUUUCUGUAGUGGUUUUAUGCCUUAAAAAUACACAUUCGUUCAAACAAGAUCUCAUCUCUGGGUUAGGGUAAUCUGUUAAGAUUUAAAACUUACUCAUUUUACCUUUCACCAUGGGACUUGUAACCGUCACUUCUGUCUUGAGUAGUUAAAAGAUAGAACAGUCUAGUCAAGCACCAUGUCUCUUGUUCUUCGAUUAACUAUAGCUUUGGAGUUUUUGCAGAUUUUCAAAUAAAACUCAGAGUUUCCUUGUAUGACUCUCUCUAGUCUCUUUUUUGUGGUAUUUCUGGAUCCUUACCAAGGCAGUAAUGGUAUAUGCCUUCUCUCAAAGUAUGUGGUAUUUGUGGUAUAAGGCAUAGUGGCAUUGCCUUCUCUCUCACCCUACUCUAAUAAGGCUUUUGAUAUCUGAAGCUCAUAGGUGGGAGACAGCUAAUACAUACUUACAAGACAUUUAUUGCAUAGUCAAACCAUGGAUCCAGAAGAACAAGUCAAUAAGUCAAAUCAAGAUGUGCAUGUGUGGCGAAUGAAUGGUGUAUGGUGAUGAUGGUGAUAACAAUGGUGAAAGCCUAAUUCUACUUGUGCUCUUUUGAGGGGAUACAUACCUUUCUUGCUCUUUUGAAACUUUUUGAGGAGAAUGAGAUGCUCUAUAUUUUUUUUCUCUCAGGUGGGUAUCUUGUACCCCUAAUUCUACUGUCGGACACUUGUCCAUUUUUACCUCUCGUCUCACUUUUUUUUUCUUUCGAGGUUCCGGGCACUUGCCCCUUUUUAUUUCCUCGUAUUAUUUUUUUUUCUCUCUUUUUUUUAGAGUACUCAUCUCAUGAGAUAAUAUAGCAAGUGGUAGUAACAAGAUAACUUGAGCAUUUAUUUCACAGGGAAAAACAGAAAUAUUUUUGGCUAUUCUCUCCCAGAUUAGGAGUAGAAUAUUUUUGGUGGUUCUGGAGAUGGAAAUGGAUAUAUAUGGAUGGUACUUUCGGAGUAGAAGUAGCAUGUGUGAGUGAACGUGCAAGUGAAUCUUGAUUUAACCACAUGACAAGCUCCUAAGGGUCUACACAGCUUGACCACACUCAAUGCUCAUAAGCAGUAAAAAGUAAAUGAAUGGUUCAUAGUCUAAUAAGCAUGUAUAUAUGGCUGUGGUAGGAAUUUAAACCUCAUCAUACAGGAACUCAUCAUGUAACAUUUUAAAGAUUUUUAAAGAUAAAAUUCUCCAGAAUUCUAGCAUCUCUAGGAAUAGAUAAACAGCAGCUCAACCUUCCCAUAUCGUAUCCGUUAACGACUUAGACUUUAGAUCAAGUACUCUCCCCACAAGUUCAGGUUUAGAGCAAAUCUUAAUUAAUACCAGUCAUGCCUAAACUUGAGAGAGAUUUCAAUUUUAAGAACUAGUCAUGGUAGAGCAACUAUUCAUCAUUUCCAUGUGAGAGCUUAUCAUGAAUGUUCAUAGCAAACUUUAUUUAUUUAUUUAUUUAGCAAACUAAGCAAAGAUAUAUAUAAGCACAAAAUCUUUAUUUGGGUUUUUAUGAUUAUGCAUCUUUUUAUUAUGUGAGUAAAGUAUAAACAUGAGUAGAACACUUAGCUGGAUAAAUGGGGGUGCUCUCCCCCAAGCUGGAUUUUGCCGUAAUUCCUUCUAAUGUAGCUAGCAGGUGGCGGAGGUGUAUUUGAAUGUUGGCAGCACCCUGACAGUGAUUAGGAUGUCCUCCGUCUGCUAGUCUUCUUUGAUCCUUGAAUUCUGUGGAGCUCAAAUAGACAACAAAGCUUUGUGGAACUAGUUAAGUGUUAGCAUAAAUAUCUAGCCUUCAUCAUGUUGAGCCUCCUCUAUAAAUGUUACUCUCUUUAGUAGGAUCAUAAAUUUAUUUUUGUAUUUUUAUUUUUAUAGGAUAUGAAUAUAUAUUUAUUUCAUUUUUACGCCACCACAGUGAAUGUACUUAUGGGUUUUAUGCCAUGAGCAUACUCACAUGGGGCUUACUAUUUUUAACAUUUUUAUUUUCUUUUCAAGAUGAUAUGAACCUGGUUAACCAAGCAAACUAUUUUAAAUAGUUGAAAGAAAAAAGAUAACUACCAAGUUUACCUCUUGGCAAGGCGUUCAAUGUUUUUAAGUCCUCCGAACGGGACUUUCCGUUUUCUUAGUUGUCCUGGGAUUCGCUGGAUGGCGUAGUCGGUGGUUCCGGCGGCGCCUGCUCUUCAUGUAUAACUAUCUUCUCUCUACACACCUGACUCGGUGCUACGGUCUCCUCAGAACAGUUCUGUUCAAGUUGUAUGCCUUGAGACCUUAUCACUUCUCCUUCGUAGUCUGCCCAUCCGUCCUUGAUGAUUUGCCUCCUCUGGUUGCGGUUGCGUCGUCUUCUUCUUGUCCUGACCUGCUUAGAAUCUUCAACACUUCAUGUGUGUCUCUCUUUGUCUCCAAUGUGAGUUUAUCUCAGGACUUCCCAGGUCGAUAUUGAAAGUUUUCCUGCAGGGGUUAGUCCAACAAAAUAUACCAAUGUCUACACAAGCAGUUUUUAGUUCAAUAACCAAACUAGACUCCAUGUCUAAUUAGAUUAAGGAAGGCUGUUUAACCUAAGCACCAUGCUUAAUUUAAAAACCAAUAGAAGUAUGUACAGUACUUCCAAACUAACACUUACUAGGAUAAACAAAGGUAGCGUGAUGGCUUUUAUAGAGAUCUACUCAAGUGGAGAUGAAGUAGUGUGAUUAUUAUUUAACAAAUUGAGCAUGUCUCAAAGGUAGGGACAACCAACAUAGCAACAUGGCAAAUGAUGUUUUUAUAUAAAGUACUCCCCCAAGCUUGAAUUUUGCAAAAUUCAAGUUUGGAUGAAUUUAAUUCAAUGUUGUAUGAUGAUUGGUUGUACAUACCUUGUGCUUGUCAUUCAUCCGAUCUUCUUGCUCCAAUCCUAGAAAGGUUAGUGACAAGAAUACCCGAAGGAAUUUUUUUACAAUUAUCCUUAUAUGCUCAAUACACAAGGUAAUGUUGCAAAUAAUUAAAAGCUCAUGUUACGAUCUGAUCAGUGCUUGUUUUAGGACACUAAGAUUGUCCUUGGGAAACCAUCAAUUUAUGUCGGUGAAGUGGUUUUCCCUCCAACACCAACCUAUAUCAAGAUCAACUCAACG